CCAGUCUUGCCCCUAGAAAACACGAUUUAUCUGACUCAAUUGCCCUCUAAGCUCCAGGCUCCUCUCCCUUGUGGGUCUCAAAUUUGACCUCAACUGUUACCUGGGGAACUGUGCUCCAGCUUCUGCUGCACUUCAGUUCUGCACUUUGAACCGGCAUGCCCAGGUGAUUCUGAUCCAGGUGGUCCACCCUUUAAGAAUCACUUCUGGAGUUCCCUUCUUGGCUUGGCAAUUAAUGAACCCGAUUAGGAUACAUGAGGAUACAGGUCUGAUCCCUGGCCUUGCUUAAUGGGUUAAGAAUCCGGCGUUGCCAUGAGCUGUGGUGUGGGUUGCAGACAUGGCUCUGAUCUGGCAGUGCUGUGGCUGUGGCAUAGGCCGGCGGCCACAGCUCCGAUUUUACUCCUAGCCUGGGAACCUCCCUAUGCCGCGGGAGCGACAAAUAGCACAAAAAUUAAAAAAACCACUUUCAUGGGUCUUGGUGCCAUCAUCCCAGCAUCAGAUCUCCCACUCACCCCCGACCCUCACUGGCACCCCUCCCCCAGCACAUGCUGUAAAUCCGUUCUUGAGAAAGGAUCUGAUACAUCCAUUCACCCUGAGGAGUAGGAAACAAGAAGACCUGGAGGGGGACACCCUCUAGCAGGAGAUCAAGACCCACUGCCCUCCUCUGAGAGGCCCGCACUAACUCCUCCCACUGAAAUCAGCUUAAAUGUCUACAGGGGUCAGAUGGGGAGGGGGAGGUACUGAGCGAGGAGGACCAGGCACGAGACCAUAGGGAGGGGCAGGGCCGCAGCAAACUGGCUCGAGUGUGCCCUCUGCAAGGGUGCGGAGAGGAGCGGCCACUCUUCAGCCCACUGGUUGUAGGAACGCAGACCACAGCUGCCAGAUCUUCUGACUUGUCAAGAGAAGCCAGAAAUCAGAUUUUUCUGGGCCAUUUCCAAUUAUAAACUAUGGGGGGUGGGCACCAAAGCAAGCAGGUCUGGGGGCCACAUCUGGAGGCAAGUGGGCCACCCGUCGGCAGCCUGGUCUAGAGGGUGAGCUCUUUGGGCUGGGAGACCUUGUGUUUAUCCUUAUGCCCUUAGUGCCAGCUGGCUGCCCAGCAUGCCCAGGGGGUUCCCAGUAAACGCUGAUACAUGGGUAAAUAAGCGAAGGCGUGGUGGGGCCAGCAGACGAAAGGGGACUUCCUGCCCCACCACACCUAAGGUCUGCCUUGUCAGCCAGCAGGGGUGGGGCCUGCCUGGGAGUCCCAUCCCCCCUCACCCACAAAGGAGGCCUGCUGAUGCCUAACUCGCUCACGCCUAGAAAUGGCCACUUUCAGCAUCCCUGGAUGUUCCAAGAGCAUCCCCUGUGAUGCAGACCUCUCUCGGGUCUCCAGUUUUAUCCAAUCCUGCCCUAAAGCCCACAGCCUCUCCUGCCCCCUGCCAGGACCCGGCCCCAGUCCUCUAGGCUCUCUGUCAUAGAGUGCCCCCCCACCAGGUUCUCCUCACUACAGGCUGCUGCUCAGAAACCUUUGCCCAGGGCAUCCAGCCUCCAAGCCCAGGUCCAGCUCCUCUGAGAGCAAUGGCAAAAGCAGCAAAAGCCUCAAAGCUGCCCCUGGGAGAAGGAGGAGGGAAGAAAGGCCCAAUCUGGGAGCCUCUGGAGGUAUCCCCGUGUCCUGGACACCCCCUGCCAAGAGAGGCAUGUCUAAGGGCUCUGCCCAUCUCAGGUCACGGGUGAUGUGUCAGAAGUGGGGAGCUCUGUCCAUUAGGAAGAGAGGCUAACAGACUGCCUAUAACUGACAGGAAAAGGAAACUAGAAGCCAAGGUGUUGAGGGGCCUGGGUGAGACACAGGGUGUACAGAGUCUUCAUAAGAAGUUCAAGAACAGGAGCUCCCAUCAUGGCUCCAUGGAAAUGAAUCCAACUACGAACCAUGAGGAUGUGGGUUCAACCCCUGGCUUCGCUCCAUGGGUUCAGGAUUCAGUGCUGUCGUGAGCUGUAGGGUAGGUCACAGACGCGGCUCGGAUCUGGCGUUGCUGUGGCUGUGGUGUAGGCCGGCGGCAAAGUGCCCUAGCCUGGGAACCUCCAUAUGCCAUGGGUUCAGCCCUCCAAAAAAAGACCAAAGACAAAAAAAAAAGAAGAAGAAGACAUUCAAGAAUAGUCACUAAGUGAUGUGAGGACAAGCUGGGAUGAUGGAGCAGGAGGUGGGGAGCAAGGUAGGAUGGCGUACUGAUGGGGAGGGGACGAGGAGGCCUUCUGGAGCGAUGGAAAUGCUACAUAUCUUCAUCUGGAUGGUACUUACACAGGCGCAUACAGACGGAAAAUUACAUCAGCUACCCAGUACAUUUAAAGACCUGUGGACUUCACUAUACAUAAAUUUUAUCUCAACAAUAAAAGAAAAAAAGAGCAAUGGAAGAGGGGAAAGACCUCUCACAGAUGCCCAUAAAUCAAGAAGCGGGCCCUGACACCGGUUCUCUGGGAGAGCUUAAAAAGAGGCAGAAAGGCCAAUGAGGUGUGAGACCCUUACUCCCAAAUGAGCCAUAGAACUGAUUUCAAAGUUACCCCGCAGGUGGCCAAGUUCAAGUGCAAAUACACCACUGAAUAUAUGCCCAUGGAAGAAGCCUUGAAGGCAGGAAGUAAGAACGACUUUAAAGCACCAUAGCCUUCUUCAUAGCCCUUUAGCUUCAGCUGUCCCAGUUCAUCCUCACAGCCACCCUGGGAAUGGCUGUUAAGUCUCCUACAUAGAGUGGAAUAAACAGAGGCCCAGAGAAGUUCAAGGACUUGCCAAGGUCACAUUGGCCGCGCUAGGACGCAAAUCUCCGCAUGAGUUACCAAGUCCAUGCCCUUUGCUUCUGCACAUGCCCCUCCCACACCAUCCUGCACUUAAAAGCAAUGCAGAGGAGUUCCUGUCAUGGCUCAGUGGUUAACGAAUCCCGACUAGGAACCAUGAGGUUGUAGGUUCGAUCCCUGGCCUUGCUCAGUGGGUUAAGGAUCCAUCGUUGCCGUGAGCUGUGGUGUAGGUCGCAGACGCAGCUCAGAUCCCAAGUUGCUGUGGCUCUGGCGUAGGCCAGUGGCUACAGCUCCGAUUAGACCCCUACCUGGGAACCUCCAUAUGCCAUGGGAGCAGCCCUAGAAAAGGCAAAAAAAAAAAAGAAAGAAAAAAGAAAAAAAAAGAGGAUAUCUCUUACCUUUUACAGAUUUUAUGACAAACCCCAAAGGAAGAUGGGACAAUGCCAGGGGUUUUCCAUCCUUUGUCCAGAACCUCAGGUCUCCUCAGACAGGCAGAGGGUGGACCUGACAGCUUGAGCCAGUAGAUUGAUGGUAACACAGGAAAUCAGACAGACUGUGAGGGACUGUUACUGCUACGCUAAAGCCAUCUCCCCCUGCUCCUCACUAGAGACUCUGGUUUUAUUCAAGCCCCAGAAGAUGAAUCAUGACUAAGUUAAAGCCAACACAGUAAAUUCGUUUGCUGUUCCCAGGUUCUCACUUUCUGGUUCCUACGUAAUCAGGAUAUAGUCCUAGCCAAUGAGACAUAAAGACAAAUCUGCUUCCUGAUUAAAGAGAUAGAAACUACUCCCUUCCUCUACCUUCCUGCCUUGAAUACGCUUGUAUGAGGGGAUGAUGGCUGGAGCUGUGGCAGCCAUCUUGUUAUCAAAAGGUAAUAAUCUUUUAAAAGUAAACACCAGGAAGUUUCCGUGUGGCACAGUGGGUUCAAGAUCCAGCACUGCCACAGCUAUGGCAGAUCCUGGGUCCUUGCUGACAUUUUUGAACUGUUCAUCAACUGUGGGUCAGACUUGGUACUGAGGUAAUUCAGUGUCAUUAUGAUUUAAGCCGCUGUCUAUUUGGGUCUUUUGUUAUAUGUGUCCUAUCUGUCACAGAGGGCAGAGGCAGGUAGACACCAGCUGCAGAAUUCAAAUCACAUGGAUGAGCCCAGAUAAGAUGCAGGGGCAGGCAGGCCAGGCAAAGAUCUGGAGGGCAGCAAGAGGCAAAAUUCAGAAAUCACUCAGGAAUUAUUCAGAAAUCAUUCAGCCUUUCCUGGACUACCUGGCCCAUCAGCAGCAGAAGCCUGAACCUGCUACACCCACUCACUGCUCUGAUGGUGUUCCAGGAGUCCCUCAUCAGCGAUAACCCAAAGCUGGUGCACAAAGAACUCUUGCCCUUCACAGCCUCAGAGUCACAAGGAUCUGGGGUUUUGACAUAUUGUAAUAUUGGUGAGAAGAAAGAAGCUGACUUUUUCUCUUUUUAAUUCAGCCCAAUACUAAAAAAUAUGUACACUCGGGGGUUCCCAUUGUGGCUCAGUGGAAAUGAAUCUGACUAGUAUCCAUGAGGAUGGAGGUUUGAUCCCUGGCCUCGCUCAGUGGGUUGGGGAUCUGCAUUGCCAUGAGCUGUGGGAUAGGUCGCAGACGCAGCUCGUAUCUGCAUGGCUGUGGCUGUGGCAUAGGCCAGCUGCUGCAGCUCCAACCAGAUCCCCUAGCCAGGGAACCUCCAUAUACCAUAGGUGUGUCCCCCCGCCCUCGCCAAAAAAAUAGUAGAAAUAAAAUAACUCCCAUAAGGUUACUUAUCUCAUGCAAGAGUUAGCCUGGAAGCAAGGGUCUUCCAGAUUAUGUUAGUUUUGUGGCUCAACAAAAUGAGGGCUUGGGGUCAGCUAUCCUGGUAUUCUCUUGACUUUACCCACAUGGUGAUAAGAGGCUUGCAACAACAACGCACAGUCCAUAACAUCCAAAGACAGGAAGAGGCCUUUUGUAUCCCUUGUCUGUUGAGCCAUUAAAAUGUCCCCUGUGGAAUUGUGAUUUAUAGCAGUAAAUAUACAUCUGGCCUUCAUCCCCGUUCCUGGCACAGAGCUCAUAAUACUCUUGGAAUUUCCUAAGUGAGAAGAGCCAUAAGGUGAAAGGAGACUCUUUUGUUAUUCAUAACAAGGCCCUUUCAACCACACCCCAGCAGAUGUUUAAAAGGUGAUUUUUGGAAA
rnacentral:lncRNA from 1 species